rnacentral:lncRNA from 1 species
CUGAACUUAAGUUUGCCUCAAUUUUCUUAUUUGGGAAAUGGGACUAUGAGUCCUUUCCUCAGGACCAGGGGAGAUGGAGUCCAUAUGGUUCUCUGAGCAAAAGAGGCCAAGAGAACAUGCACUGCUAUUAUUUUUGAGAAGGGAAGAUCGAGGCUCAGCAUAUCAUGAAGCUGACAAAGUAUGAAACUGGUUACAAAGUCAGGUCUUUCUGAUUCAAAUUGCCUCAUGCCUCCUUGGAUGUUCGUGGAGAAUCUCCUAUAUGCCAGGUGUUGCCCUCAAUAGAAGUGAUGCUCCUUCAAUCCUGUCUUGGCAUCUGCUUCUUGGUACACAGGGUAGAGGUAAACAAGAAAGAAGGAAGGAAAGAAGAGAAAAGAAAAAUAAAGAAGAGGAGAAAAGAAAAGGAAAUGAAAGGAAAGGAAAGAAAAGAAAAGAAAAGAAAGGGAAAGAAAAGGUCUGGGCUUCCAGUCGAUUGUGCUCACUGAGCUAAUCCUGAGUCAUCUUGGGUUGAAGGGUCUCUGCUCUGCAAACUCAUCCAUUUAUAGGCCUUUGCUGGGUUUGGUUUGGUAAUUCACUAUGGAGCUCCCUUUAAGUAAACCAGCAGCGCACAAGCUCCAGUGCUGUUGCGGCUAAGCCAAGGGGGACGGUGUCCC